GAUGAACGCUGGCGGCGUGCCUAAUACAUGCCAGUCGAGCGAACGGACGAGAAGCUUGCUUCUCUGAUGUUAGCGGCGGACGGGUGAGUAACACGUGGAUAACCUACCUAUAAGACUGGGAUAACUGCGGGAAACCGGAGCUAAUACCGGAUAAUAUUUUGAACCGCAUGGUUCAAAAGUGAAAGACGGUCUUGCUGUCACUUAUAGAUGGAUCCGCGCUGCAUUAGCUAGUUGGUAAGGUAACGGCUUACCAAGGCAACGAUGCAUAGCCGACCUGAGAGGGGGAUCGGCCACACUGGAACUGAGACACGGUCCAGACUCCUACGGGAGGCAGCAGUAGGGAAUCUUCCGCAAUGGGCGAAAGCCUGACGGAGCAACGCCGCGUGAGUGAUGAAGGUCUUCGGAUCGUAAAACUCUGUUAUUAGGGAAGAACAUAUGUGUAAGUAACUGUGCACAUCUUGACGGUACCUAAUCAGAAAGCCACGGCUAACUACGUG
rnacentral:rRNA from 1 species